UAAAUAGGUCGAACAAAAAAU
rnacentral:piRNA from 1 species